UGCAAAGGGGCAAAUGCAUUACUGUUCAGUACUUGACCGAGAAAAAGGUCAUUACCAAGUUCGAAGUCGUCCCCGUGUUGAAAAGGGACAGGCAAAGGGCAAUAACAGACAAGACGUCGAGUUUAUGGAUUCAAAGUGCAGUUGUGGGAAGUGGCAGAUGUGGAGAGUUCCUUGUUCCCAUGCGUGCACUGUUGCCAGAGAUCGAGGUAACUCUAUGUUUGAACUCAUUGAUAAACACAACCACAAAGCUACGUGGGAAGCACAGUACUAUGGUGUCUCAUUUCAAGCACCAAGACACGAAGACUAUUGGGCAAAUCCUGGAUGGAAAUUACGUAUCACACCAGAGCAGUUGCUUCCGCGAAAGCGUGGACGAGGCAGAACAAGGAGGAUUCCUAAUCAAAUGGAUGUCCGCGAGGAAGAUGAACCGAGAGCUUCCCGCAAGUGCAGGAAUUGCGGUGUAGAGGGCCAUGACCGUAGAAAUUGCACAGUUGGUCGUGUUAUGUAGGAUCCUCACCGACUAAAUUGUUGACAUCUGCAGUGCAGGAGCUUGAGACAAAGAGGACUUAGCAGGAGAAGAGAUGUGUUAUGAUGAAUUGUAGUUUGUUCUAUAUGUCACUAGCACUGUAGUUAAUUUGUUUUGUGUAGUUUCUAUGAAACGUUGUUUCUGUGUAUCUGCCAAUUAAAUCUAAACUUGUGUUUCGGACUA